GUAUUAAUUGCGUGUGAUCGCAAAAGAAAAACAUUCUACACUGUAUCGAGUUUGUGUGAAAACGCGAGCCCCCUCCGAGAUGAUCCCAAAGGGUGCCCACGCGGUGAUGCACAAAGGGUGAGAUGGAUUAUUAUGUGAGGAAACACACCCGGGCGUGCACGACAUUGAGUCAGCGACAGCCCUUGCAUGCCCCUCACAUUUUGUACGAUAAUGAUCCUUCCGCAGGUUCACCUACGGAAA
rnacentral:misc_RNA from 1 species